rnacentral:rRNA from 1 species
UACGUAGGGGGCUAGCGUUGUCCGGAUUUAUUGGGCGUAAAGAGCGUGUAGGCGGCCAGGUAGGUCUGCUGUGAAAACUCGAGGCUCAACCUCGAGACGUCGGCGGAAACCAUCUGGCUAGAGUCCGGAAGAGGAGAGUGGAAUUCCUGGUGUAGCGGUGAAAUGCGUAGAUAUCGUAAGGAACGCCAGUGGCGAAAGCGAGUCUCUGGGCAGCAUCUGACACUGAGGCACGAAGGCCAGGGGAGCAAACGGG